GGAGAGGUGGCUGAGUGGUCGAAAGCGGCAUACUGCUAAUUUGCUGUACGAUUUAUCGUACCGAGGGUUCGAAUCCCUCUCUCUCCU
rnacentral:tRNA from 1 species